AAUCAACGCUGGCGGCGUGCCUCAGACAUGCAAGUCGAACGAUUAAAGCUCUCUUCGGAGAGUGCAUAAAGUGGCGCACGGGUGAGUAACACGUAAGUAAUCUACCUUUGAGUGGGGAUAACAGUCGGAAACGGCUGCUAAUACCGCAUAAUGCAGCGGCACCGCAAGGUGACAGUUGUUAAAGGAGCAAUCCGCUUAAAGAGGAGCUUGCGGCAGAUUAGCUAGUUGGUAAGGUAAUGGCUUACCAAGGCUACGAUCUGUAACCGGUCUUAGAGGACGGUCGGUCACACUGACACUGAAUAACGGGUCAGACUCCUACGGGAGGCAGCAGUCGGGAAUUUUGGGCAAUGGGCGAAAGCCUGACCCAGCAACGCCGCGUGAAGGAUGAAGUAUUUCGGUAUGUAAACUUCGAAAGAAUAGGAAGAAUUAAUGACGGUACUAUUUAUAAGGUCCGGCUAA
rnacentral:rRNA from 1 species